rnacentral:tRNA from 1 species
ACAUUGGUGGUUCAGUGGUAGAAUUCUUGUCUUCCAUGCAAGAGACCAGGGUUCAGUUCCCAGCCAUUGCA